rnacentral:rRNA from 1 species
AACGAACGCUGGCGGCAGGCUUAACACAUGCAAGUCGAGCGCAUCCUUCGGGGUGAGCGGCAGACGGGUGAGUAACGCGUGGGAACGUACCCUUUCCUACGGAAUAGCUCCGGGAAACUGGAAUUAAUACCGGAUACGCCCUUAGGGGGUAAGAUUUAUCGGGGAAGGAUCGGCCGGCGUUGGAUUAGCUAGUUGGUGGGGUAAAGGCCUACCAAGGCGACGAUCCAUAGCUGGUCUGAGAGGAUGAUCAGCCACAUUGGGACUGAGCCACGGCCCAAACUCCUACGGGAGGCAGCAGUGGGGAAUAUUGGACAAUGGGCGCAAGCCUGAUCCAGCCAUGCCGCGUGAGUGAUGAAGGCCUUAGGGUUGUAAAGCUCUUUCAGUAGGGAAGAUAAUGACGGUGCCUACAGAAGAAGCCCCGGCUAACUUCGUGCCAGCAGCCGCCGUAA